CUAACAAGGAUUCCCCUAGUAACGGCGAGUGAAGCGGGAAGAGCUCAAGCUUAAAAUCUCCGUGCAAGUUUUGCGCGGCGAAUUGUAGUCUAUAGAGGCGUGGUCAGCGUGGGCGCUUGGGGCAAGUUCCUUGGAAGAGGACAGCAUGGAGGGUGAUACUCCCGUUCAUCCCUGAGUUGCUCGUGCGUACGACCCGUUUUCUUUGAGUCGCGUUGUUUGGGAAUGCAGCGCAAAGUAGGUGGUAAAUUCCAUCUAAAGCUAAAUAUUGGUGCGAGACCGAUAGCGAACAAGUACCGUGAGGGAAAGAUGAAAAGAACUUUGAAAAGAGAGUUAAAGAGUACCUGAAACUGCUGAAAGGGAACCGAAUCGUUUCCAGUGUCUAUAAUCCGUGGCAUAUUUCAUUGGCGAGCGUGUGCGUGCGUGUACUGUGGCAGUGGCUUUUUUGGCUGCGCUCGGUGUGUGUGCUGUGUGUGCUUGCUGGUGCCCUGUGCUGCGGUGGGACGUCAAGGUCAGUUCGUAUGCUGCGGGAAAUGGCUGCCGAGGAGGUAGGGCUUACGCUUGCGUUUGUCUGUUAUAUCUUGGUGGACGAGUAGUCGCGGUUGGGACUGAGGUGCCUACAACGUGCUUUUGAGUGUGUCUGUGUCUCCGUGUGCGCCGUGUGCGGAUAGCUUGCUAUGCGUGUGUGGUUGUGUGUGGAUUGAUGCGGGCUUUAACUUGUUGCCGUUCGGGACGUUGACGAAAUGGAGCGAUCCGACCCGUCUUGAAACACGGACCAAGGAGUCUAACAUGUGUGCAAGUGUUAGGGUGUGGAAACCCCAGCGCGAAAUGAAAGUGAAGGGCAGCGCAAGUUGUCUGAGGUAGGAAACGUUGUGGGCUUCGGUCUGCGGCGUGGCACUAUCGACCGAUCAUGAACCUUCGUGGUGAAAGAUUUGAGUUUGAGCACAUAUGUUGGUACCCGAAAGAUGGUGAACUAUGCCUGAGUAGGGUGAAGCCAGGGGAAACUCUGGUGGAAGCUCGUAGCGAUUCUGACGUGCAAAUCGAUCGUCAAACUUGGGUAUAGGGGCGAAAGACUAAUCGAACCAUCUAGUAGCUGGUUCCCUCCGAAAUUUCCCUCAGGAUAGCAGCAACUUAUUUACGAUAGUUUUAUGAGGUAAAGCGAAUGAUUAGAGGAUUCGGGGAAGAAACUUCCUCGACCUAUUCUCAAACUUUAAAUCUGUAAGACCUGCAGGUUUCUUAAUUGAACUUGUGGAUGUGAAUAUCAA
rnacentral:rRNA from 1 species